GGUUGCUUAGUCUAGCGGUUAUGAUUUCUCCUUUACAAUUAUACGUUGUAUACGGAGACGGUCCUGAGUUCGAUCCUCAGAGCGACCA
rnacentral:tRNA from 1 species